GAUGAAGAACGUAGCGAAAUGCGAUAAGUAAUGUGAAUUGCAGAAUUCAGUGAAUCAUCGAAUCUUUGAACGCACAUUGCGCCCCUUGGUAUUCCGAGGGGCAUGCCUGUUCGAGCGUCAUUAUAACCCCUCAAGCUCAGCUUGGUGUUGGGGCCUGCUGCACUGGCAGCCCUUAAAAUCAGUGGCGGCGCCAUCUGGCUCUAAGCGUAGUAAUACUUCUCGCUAUGGAGUCCUGGUGGAUGCUUGCCAUCAACCCCCAAUUUUUCUAUGGUUGACCUCGGAUCAGGUAGGGAUACCCGCUGAACUUAAGCAUAUCAAUAAGCGGAGGA
rnacentral:misc_RNA from 1 species